rnacentral:rRNA from 1 species
UACGUAGGGUGCGAGCGUUGUCCGGAAUUACUGGGCGUAAAGAGCUCGUAGGCGGUUUGUCGCGUCGUCCGUGAAAACUCGGAGCUUAACUCCGAGCUUGCGGGCGAUACGGGCAGACUUGAGUACUACAGGGGAGACUGGAAUUCCUGGUGUAGCGGUGAAAUGCGCAGAUAUCAGGAGGAGCACCGGUGGCGAAGGCGGGUCUCUGGGUAGUAACUGACGCUGAGGAGCGAAAGCAUGGGUAGCGAACAGG